AUUAUUGAUUGAUUUUCUGCAGGACGAGUCCUCCGUGGAGAUCAGUCAGCCUUCCAUCUGUACGAUGUGUGAGCAGGACGACUCCCUCCUGAAGACAAAGAAACAGUGUAAGAACUGCAACGGCAUCUUCUGCGAGAGCUGUGUGUCCAACGAGCUGCCGUUACCUUCCUCCAUUCUCCCAGAGACUGUGUGUACCGCCUGCUUCUCUCGGUUACUCCAACAAUACGCUUCAACGCCAACAUGAAACAACUCUGCAUUUUACUACAAGACAUGACGAUCAGACACCUGGAAACCAGAGGCAUUCAUUUGUAAAACUGGCACUGCAAAAAUGCACUUUUUGACUUUGUGACUCGAGACAUUAUGAAAGGUCGGACGGAGUCCGAUUCAGAUCAGAUUAAGUUGGCAAUGUCCAAACAUGUGCCGCUAAGAGCUGAUUGAAUUCAGGUUUUCAUUUUUCAAAUACUGGUUUGGCCAUAAUUCUUCCUUUCUGGCUGAAAGUGUGUGUUGAGCUGCUGUGGUAUUUCUGAAGACCUGCACUCAAAAAGCUGUAAAAUGGCACCUGGAUGGAGAUUACUGAUUUUAAAAAGACAACUUUAAUCAUCUCAUGCAUUAAAAAAAAAACUGACUUUCCACAAUGUCCACUAAGUGGAUUAUUGAUUAAAAGGACACCUGACGAUAUAUAUUUUAUAUAAUUUAGUUUUAAAAGUUGGGGAAAAGGAAAGAAGGAAAAACUGGACUUGCUUUUUGUGUAAGCCACAACUGUGCUCCAUUACAACACAGCUGUUAAUCAUAUACAGAGCAGUAUGUGAUGUAUCAUUUUACUUUGAUGAAGCAUGAAUUUUAUGAUUCAGGCUGAUGCUGACAAAAUCAAAUAUCCCAUAUCCCAAACACUUUUGACCAAAUACUAUAUUAUACUUUAUUACGUGUCAAUAUUUUGGGAAAGACCGUGUGCUGUCAAAAGCUUUUUAUACACGUAUCAGACAUUAGUAAUAAACUCCGUCUAAUGAGUUUAAAAAUAAAAAAUUGUACAACUAAUGCAAAAUGUUAAGACCAGAAAAAUAGAAAUAUUUAAGUUCUAUGACAAUGUUAUGAUAACCAGAAUCCUAGACUGCUAGACUACAUCUAGUCUCUUAUCACGAUAUCAACAUUUGAUGGACAUAUCAUCCGGCUUUGGUGUUGAGACUGUAGAAGAGAGUUGAUUUUGCUGUUUGACAUUUUGGGCAUUGCGCUUAUUUUGUCUUGCGGAAAGUUAGAUGAGACGAUUGAUACCACUCUCAAGUCCGUCCGUUUAGUGUACAAGCUACAGACAGCAACGGUUUAGCUUAGCUUAGCUUAGCACAAAGACAGGAAACGAGAGGAACUUAUUCACUCGUUAACAUGUUAUAUCUUGUUUAAUCUGUAGAAAAACAGACAAAGUGUACUAUUUAUUGGGUUAAUUAGCUUUAGAGGUGCGGCUAGGUUGAUUGUGUUACCUUUCGACUAAGCUAGAUAGUCUUUAUGCUAAGCUAAGCUAACUGGCUGCAGCUUCACAUUUAUCGUACAGAUGUAUAGAGUGGUAUCGCUCUCAGCAAAAAAAAUAAAAAAAGCAAAUAAGUGUAUGUCCCAAAAUGUCAGAUUAUUCCUUAAGUUUACAAAGCUGAAUAUUCUGUAUGAAAUAAUUCUUUACUGUUGCUGUUGUGUUCCAUAUAAGUUAGAAGUGGCAUUAACAAAAUGGCUAAAAACUCAUCUCCUGUUGACGAAAAAGGAAUAUUUUGUCAAAACAGAGUCUGUUUGAUCUCAAACAGUACAGCCGUUAAAAUCACAAAAUCCAGCUUUUAUAGAUAUUUAGAUUCUAGUCUUUUCUCUGGAUAAUCAAACUUUUUUCCGAACGUCUUUAAAUAUUUCUGCACUUUUAGAUGCAUGGCUCUCUGCCUGACUGGUUUGAAGUGGGCAUAUCAGCUGUUUUUACGUUUUGUUGAUUUAUAUGAAGAAUAAUUAGAAAAUCGGUAAAACCAGUUUAGCCGUUCUUGUUGAAACUAACUAACACGUGAGAUGGAAAUGCUUCUUAGAUCAACAAUAAACUUUUAUUAAUUUUA